AUUUUCAGGGGCUACAGAGAGUACAAUGCCAACUGUGAAACCAAAACUGCUGUUGGCUACAAAGAGCACAACGCCAACUGGGGGAAAAAAACCGCCGAGGUCAGGUAUAUGGCACCCUCUUGGAAAUCCUGAUGGUUUUCUAACAACAACAACUCAAGCAAAUGUGAUCCAGGGGAAGCAAACGUGAUAGAAGACACACAGCAGAGGAGCUCAACAGAUGGCUGAAAUGACCAUUUCAUUACUCUGCUGGUGUUACUGCCUCCUUCAAAUAAACAUUUUAAGUCGGUUGUGUGGGAAAAGUUUCUUUUAUUUGUUCAUGUGUUUGGUAUAAGGUCAUUUGAAAUGUAUUUUUUUAAAGCCUAGGAACUCUGGAUAAUUUUGACAAAUGGUGAAUAAACUAUCACCUGCUCUGACAAAGUGAGAAAUCACAGGAAUAGAGUAAGUGAUUAUGAACAGCAGGUUAAAACAAGUCUUGAGUUUACAAAUAAACAAUAUCUUUUCUGGAAAAAGA